UCACACUACGGAAGGUGGGGGCGCCCGAAGUACCCUUAGCUUUUAGCGGGGUCCUAAGGUGAAACCACUGACUGGAGUGAAGUCGUAACAAGGUAUCCGUAGGAGAACCUGCGGAUGGAUCACCUCCUUUUA
rnacentral:rRNA from 1 species